AGCAGCCGCGGUAAUUCCAGCUCCAAUAGCGUAUAUUAAAGUUGUUGCAGUUAAAAAGCUCGUAGUUGAAUUUCGGGGUUAGUAGGUUGGUCGUGCCACUGGUAUGUACUGGCUCUACUGAUCCCUCCUUCUUGUAGAACCGUAAUGCCAUUAACUUGGUGUUGCGGGGAAACAGGACUGUUACUUUGAAAAAUUAGAGUGUUUAAAGCAGGCUAACGCUUGAAUACAUUAGCAUGGAAUAAUGAAUUAGGACGCUCGAUCCUAUUUUGUUGGUUUCUAGGAUUGACGUAAUGAUUAAUAGGGAUAGUUGGGGGCAUUAGUAUUCAAUUGUCAGAGGUGAAAUUCUUGGAUUUUAUUGAAGACUAACUACUGCGAAAGCAUUUGCCAAGGAUGUUUUCUAUUAAUCAAGAACGAAAGUUAGGGGAUCGAAGACGAUCAGAUACCGUCGUAGUCUUAACCAUAAACUAUAGCCGACUAGGGAUCGGAUGAUGUUAAUUUUUUAAUGUACUUCAUUCGGCGU
rnacentral:rRNA from 1 species